rnacentral:rRNA from 1 species
AUUAGACGAAUCAUCUGGAAAGAUGAAUCAAAGAAGGUAAUAAUCCUGUAGUCGAAAAUGUUGUCUCUCUUGAGUGGAUCCUGAGUACGACGGAGCACGUGAAAUUCCGUCGGAAUCUGGGAGGACCAUCUCCUAAGGCUAAAUACUCUCUAGUGACCGAUAGUGAACCAGUACCGUGAGGGAAAGGUGAAAAGCACCCCGGAAGGGGAGUGAAAUAGAACCUGAAACCGUGUGCUUACAAGUAGUCAGAGCCCGUUAAUGGGUGAUGGCGUGCCUUUUGUAGAAUGAACCGGCGAGUUACGAUUUGAUGCAAGGUUAAGCAGUAAAUGUGGAGCCGUAGCGAAAGCGAGUCUGAAUAGGGCGUUUAGUAUUUGGUCGUAGACCCGAAACCAGGUGAUCUACCCUUGGUCAGGUUGAAGUUCAGGUAACACUGAAUGGAGGACCGAACCGACUUACGUUGAAAAGUGAGCGGAUGAACUGAGGGUAGCGGAGAAAUUCCAAUCGAACCUGGAGAUAGCUGGUUCUCUCCGAAAUAGCUUUAGGGCUAGCCUCAAGUGAUGAUUAUUGGAGGUAGAGCACUGUUUGGACGAGGGGCCCCUCUCGGGUUACCGAAUUCAGACAAACUCCGAAUGCCAAUUAAUUUAACUUGGGAGUCAGAACAUGGGUGAUAAGGUCCGUGUUCGAAAGGGAAACAGCCCAGACCACCAGCUAAGGUCCCAAAAUAUAUGUUAAGUGGAAAAGGAUGUGGCGUUGCCCAGACAACUAGGAUGUUGGCUUAGAAGCAGCCAUCAUUUAAAGA